CAAUAAAUGUUGCAGGCAUGUGCCAAUUUCUUCACUUUGCAAAGAACUCUCUCGGGCCGUUUUUGCAUUU
rnacentral:lncRNA from 1 species